GGCUGGCUCUGAGUGCAGUGGUGUUUACAACUAAUUGAUCACAACCAGUUACAGAUUUUUUUAUUUGUUUGUUUCUUCUCCACUUCCACUGCUUCACUUGACUAGCUUUUA
ensembl:misc_RNA Y_RNA Y RNA